UCACGCUCUCUUUCGGCUGCAGGCGAGACACGGAGAAGAUCACACUGGAGAACUGUAAAGUGAUUAAUGCUACUUUUCUUGCUUAAGUAAUACUUAAUGGUUGUAAGACCGAUAACCUAUUCACUACUUUGCAUGCGGAAGAAGUCGGUAUCACAUAGAGACAUUUUCAAAACGAAUUUGUCAGAAUAGCUCAGCUAAUAGUAUUGCCUGAAAAGUUAUCAACUCGGUAGCUGGGACUGUGUUAGGCUAACUGGCUUGGUCAACCAAUGAGUUGCCUCUGAGGAACAAGACUGCGAGACUAACCGGAAGAAGACAGCUUGCUGUUUGAACUGAUACGCGAACUACAGCAUCGCGUGAGCAACUGCAUACACCGAGAGCGCCUGAGCAGGGCUGCAGUGACGGUGCAUGGACCCUCUCUGGGCACGGACAUCCCCAUCAACCUCAAUUGGCCAGCCGAAGUCAGCGAGCUCCGCGCUUUCUCCUCUCCUCUAGUGGUGUGCCACAGUGUUUGAUCUCUUUACUAUUAAACCUCAGAGGUGCUCUGUUCCAUUUCUACACAGACCUGCAGUAACGGGGAACCUGGAGCCUAUCCCAGGGAGCAUCAGGCACAAAGCAG
ensembl:lncRNA